AGAGUUUGAUCCUGGCUCAGAUUGAACGCUGGCGGCAUGCCUUACACAUGCAAGUCGAACGGUAACAGGUCUUCGGAUGCUGACGAGUGGCGAACGGGUGAGUAAUACAUCGGAACGUGCCCGAUCGUGGGGGAUAACGCAGCGAAAGCUGUGCUAAUACCGCAUACGAUCUACGGAUGAAAGCGGGGGAUCGCAAGACCUCGCGCGGACGGAGCGGCCGAUGGCAGAUUAGGUAGUUGGUGGGAUAAAAGCUUACCAAGCCGACGAUCUGUAGCUGGUCUGAGAGGACGACCAGCCACACUGGGACUGAGACACGGCCCAGACUCCUACGGGAGGCAGCAGUGGGGAAUUUUGGACAAUGGGCGCAAGCCUGAUCCAGCCAUGCCGCGUGCAGGAUGAAGGCCUUCGGGUUGUAAACUGCUUUUGUACGGAACGAAAAAGUUUUCUCUAAUACAGGGGGCGAAUGACGGUACCGUAAGAAUAAGCACCGGCUAACUACGUACCAGCAGCCGCGGUAAUACGUAGGGUGCGAGCGUUAAUCGGAAUUACUGGGCGUAAAGCGUGCGCAGGCGGUUAUAUAAGACAGAUGUGAAAUCCCCGGGCUCAACCUGGGAACUGCAUUAGUGACUGUAUAGCUAGAGUGCGGCAGAGGGGGAUGGAAUUCCGCGUGUAGCAGUGAAAUGCGUAGAUAUGCGGAGGAACACCGAUGGCGAAGGCAAUCCCCUGGGGCCUGCACUGACGCUCAUGCACGAAAGCGUGCGGAGCAAACAGGAUUACAUACCCUGGUAGUCCACGCCCUAACGAUGUCUACUGGUUGUUGGGCCUUCACUGGCUUAUUACAAACCUAACUCCGUAA
rnacentral:rRNA from 1 species